rnacentral:rRNA from 1 species
CCUACGGGAGACAGCAGUAGGGAAUAUUGCUCAAUGGGGGAAACCCUGAAGCAGCAACGCCGCGUGGAGGAUGAAGGUUUUCGGAUUGUAAACUCCUGUUGUUAGAGAAGAUAAUGACGGUAUCUAACGAAUAAGCACCGGCUAACUCCGUGCCAGCAGCCGCGGUAAUACGGAGGGUGCAAGCGUUACUCGGAAUCACUGGGCGUAAAGAGCGCGUAGGCGGGAUAGCAAGUCAGAUGUGAAAUCCUAGGGCUUAACCAUAGAACUGCAUUUGAAACUGUUAUUCUAGAGUAUGGGAGAGGUAGGUGGAAUUCUUGGUGUAGGGGUAAAAUCCGUAGAGAUCAAGAGGAAUACUCAUUGCGAAGGCGACCUGCUAGAACAUAACUGACGCUGAUGCGCGAAAGCGUGGGGAGCAAACAGGAUUAGAUACCCGAGUAGUC